AUUGAACGCUGGCGGCAGGCCUAACACAUGCAAGUCGAGCGAGCGGCGGACGGGUGAGUAAUGUAUGGGGACUGCCCGAUAGAGGGGGAUAACUACUGGAAACGGUGGCUAAUACCGCAUACUGUCGGAUAACCCAUAUGGGAUUAGCUAGUAGGUAAGGUAAUGGCUUACCUAGGCGACGAUCCCUAGCUGAUCUGAGAGGAUGAUCAGCACCACUGGGAUUGAAACACGGCCCAGAUGACUACGGAGGGAGCGGAGGGGAAUAUGGCACAAGGGACGCAAGCCUGAUGCAGACAUGCCGAGUGUAUGAAGAGGGCCAUAGGGUUGUAAAGUACUUUCAGUCGGGAAGCGUUACCGAAAGAAGAAGCACCGGCUAACUCCGUGCCAGCAGCCGCGGUAAUAC
rnacentral:rRNA from 1 species